GAUCCUGGCUCAGGAUGAACGCUAGCUACAGGCUUAACACAUGCAAGUCGAGGGGCAGCGGGAAGUCAGCUUGCUGACUUUGCCGGCGACCGGCGCACGGGUGAGUAACACGUAUCCAACCUUCCCGUUACUCUGGAAUAGCCUUUCGAAAGAAAGAUUAAUACCGGAUAGUAUCGAGAGAUUGCAUGAUUACCCGAUUAAAGAUUUAUCGGUGUACGAUGGGGAUGCGUUCCACUAGGUAGUAGGCG
rnacentral:rRNA from 1 species